rnacentral:rRNA from 1 species
UACGGAGGGGGCUAGCGUUGUUCGGAAUUACUGGGCGUAAAGCGCGCGUAGGCGGCUUUGUAAGUUAGAGGUGAAAGCCCGGAGCUCAACUCCGGAACUGCCUUUAAGACUGCAUCGCUAGAAUUGUGGAGAGGUGAGUGGAAUUCCGAGUGUAGAGGUGAAAUUCGUAGAUAUUCGGAAGAACACCAGUGGCGAAGGCGACUACCUGGCCUGUUUCUUGACGCUGAGGCGCGAAAGCUAGGGGAGCAAACGGG